GCCAGGAUGGCCGAGUGGUCCAAAGCACUAAACUCAAGUUCUAGGGGCGUGGGUUCAAAUCCCACUCCUGACA